ensembl:lncRNA LINC02987 long intergenic non-protein coding RNA 2987
GGCCCCUCAGGAGGAAGGGGCGGGGAGAUCCCAGCUACUAGAGGACGCCCGUUCCAAUGGCAACUCUGCCAAGGCGCCUAUGAGAGCCUCUUGGCUUUUACCUGGUCUGCGAGAAAUCAAACUUUGGGCACAAGUCAUGAAGCCGACAAGCCCGGGAGACACAGUGUCAGAAUUACAAGGUGAGAUCAGCCGCCCGGCCAAGCUAUCUUCUCGCUAGCAGGUCUCGCAUCUGGGGCUCGAUCUCGUGCAGAGGAGCAUUUCCGAAGACACUGGCCGCUCCCACAAUGGCUCCGAAGAACCCAGCGACCAGCGGGUUCAUGAGUUUGUUGGGGCUGUCCACUCGGUACCAGCUGCGCAGGGAUGUCAGGACAAAGAAACAAGUUGCCUGGUUCCAGCCCUGCUUCAGCACGGGGCCUGUGGGGCCCCGGUAAGUCCCGGUGUUCCCGCACAAUCUCCUAACCCUGUGGAAGAAUCCCCUGUACUUGGAUUUGGAGAGGUCUGGCCAUGGAUUAACUUCACCUUGAUGGUCUCCAUGGGACAUAGGACCACCACGGCCUCGGCCACGCUAGCUCACUGGCCGCACCGCUGCCCGCCUUGCUGUUCACCAGUCCCUGGGCAUCCCGCAUCUGGUUGCUGAGGAACGCCUGACGCCGCCUUGUGGAUGAAGCCGCAGAGCAGGGAGCUGAGGCUGCGGCCCAGGCCCAGGCUGCCUUGGCUGCGACUGUGUGCCUGCAGGCCCCAUGCCCGGUAUCCGGUGGAUGCGAGUGCUAGUCCAGCUGCAGCUGCAUCUUCACGAACUCGGUGGGGAACGGGAUGCAGAUUUUUUUUUUCUUUUCCUUCCUUCCUUCCUUCCUUCCAACUUCCUUCCUUCCUUCCCCUUUCUUUCUUUCUUUUUUUUUUUUUUUUUUUUUUGACAGAAUUUUGCUCUUGUCCCCCAGGCUGGAGUGCAGUGGCGCGAUCUUGGCUCACUACAACCUGGAUUCAAGCGAUUCUCCUGCCUCAGCCUCCCGAGUAGCUGGGAUUACAGGCAUGUGCCACCAUUCCCGGCUAAUUUUUUUGUCUUUUUAGUAGAGACGGUGUUUCCCCAUGUUGGUCAGGCUGGUCUCAAACGCCUGACUCAGAUGAUCCGCCCGCCUCGGCCACCCAAAGUGCUGAGAUUACAGGCUUGAACCACCGCGCCUGGCCCUGUGAUGUAGAUUUUGAUGCUGCCAGCCAGGCUGCCUGCCGGGAUCGCCUGCCCUGGAGCAGGAGCAUCAGCCGUGCGUUCCAGGACGCAGGCAUGGCAUGACCGGCAGGAGGCGGAGUGCCCGGCGUCUCUUGGGAUCGGAGCCUCCUGAAUUCCACGCUGGGACCUUAAUUUGGUUUUAACACAAAUAAAGAUCUCACAUAAAGAUAAAAGGGGAUGUGUUGGCUUGUAAUUUUUGUUAAAAGCAAUGGUAUAUGUUGUAUAGGAUAGUGUAUUGGGAUCAACAGGUUUUUGGGGUUUUUUUUCAGCCCACUGACAUUGAAAGGGAUAAACAGUUUUUUGGUUAUUAGUGAGCAGUUUUCUCUCAGGCCAUAGUGUAGGGGUUUGUGGUCAUGUAGAUGAGAGAUAGGCUGGGAUUAAAAUUUGUUAUGGCAGUAAUAAGAGCAACAGAGCUAGACUCUGUCAAAAAAAAAAAAAACAUAGUUAGUAGAAGAAAAAAA